GAUGAAUGCUGGCGGCGUGCUUAACACAUGCAAGUCGAACGGAAAGGCCCAAGCUUGCUUGGGUACUCGAGUGGCGAACGGGUGAGUAACACGUGGGUGAUCUGCCCUGCACUUCGGGAUAAGCCUGGGAAACUGGGUCUAAUACCGGAUAGGACCACUUCUUGGAUGUUGUGGUGGAAAGUUUUUUCGGUGUGGGAUGAGCUCGCGGCCUAUCAGCUUGUUGGUGGGGUAAUGGCCUACCAAGGCGUCGACGGGUAGCCGGCCUGAGAGGGUGUACGGCCACAUUGGGACUGAGAUACGGCCCAGACUCCUACGGGAGGCAGCAGUGGGGAAUAUUGCACAAUGGGCGCAAGCCUGAUGCAGCGACGCCGCGUGGGGGAUGACGGCCUUCGGGUUGUAAACUCCUUUCGCUAGGGACGAAGCGUUUUGUGACGGUACCUGGAGAAGAAGCACCGGCUAACUACGUG
rnacentral:rRNA from 1 species